rnacentral:tRNA from 1 species
GGUGGCUCAGUGGUAGAGUGCUUGCCUUGCAUGCAUGAGGUCCUGGUUCGAUUCCUCAGCACCA